AUGGUUAAAGGCAGCAGCGGCAACAUUCAGUCAUACUUCAAAAGACAAAGAACAAAGACACCACCUGAAGAUCCUCCAGCUACACAACCUUUACCUCUGCUUCUUGAAUGGGAACAACAACAAGAAAAUCAAGAUGAAGAGCCUCAAAUAAAUAAUUCAGUUCCUCUUCCUGUUCUAUUCCUAGGUAAGGAAUUCUUGGAGCGAGACCCCGCACUGCGACCACAAAUUUGGCAGUACCCACCAAAUCAGAGAGAUAAUGUGCGGAGGGCAUAUUUGUCGUUAGGCCCCAUGCAACCAAAACUCAAACAGUAUAGAGCUUCUGGUAAAAAGGGCCAUCAGCGUCGCUUCCAAUAUAAGUGGUUUGAUAGUUUCCCAUCAUGGCUAGAGUACUCAGAGGACAGCCAUCGCGCAUACUGUUUACUCUGCCUUGUUUCCAGCAGAAAUAUCUUAGCAAAAGGAGGCUCUGAUGUAUUCACAGUACAUGGAUUUGAUAACUGGAAAAAAGUGAAUGAUGAAAAAUAUUGUGCACUCUUAGGCCAUGAAGGUUCUACGCCAUGCUCACCACACAACAAUGCAGUCAUAGAACGUCAAGCAUUGUUGAACCAGGCAGGUCAUUUAGAAAAUGUUGUAGCAGCAAAGGAUGAUGAAAAGGUAGAAAGAAACCGUUUAAGGCUAAAAGCAUCUGUUGCGGUUGUUAGGUGGCUCACAUUUCAGUCUUGCGCUUUUAGAGGACAUAAUGAGAAAGCCGAGUCAAAGAAUAAACGAAAUUUUCUUGAAUUGUUAGGGCUUCUCGCAGAGUUCAAUCCUGAUCUUGCCAAAGUCAUUUUGGGGAAUUCUCCAUACAACUCAAAGUACACAUCUCCAGAUAUUCAAAAGGAAAUCUUGUCCAUAUAUGCAUCUAAAGUUAGGAGACAUAUCCGUGAAGAUUUGGGGGAUUCCAAAUUCUCUAUUCUGGUGGAUGAGACAUGUGAUGUGGCUAAAAGAGAACAAAUGGCAUUGGUUUUCAGAUUUGUUGAUAAAGCUGGCUUUUCACAAGAGCGGUUCUUUGAUUUGAUACAUGUGGCCAACACCAAGUCCAUGACACUGAAAGAUAAAUUGUGCUCUGCAUUAUCAUUAAAUGGUUUUGAUAUUUAG
rnacentral:rRNA from 1 species